rnacentral:tRNA from 3 species
GAUGGCGUAGCUCAGUGGCCAGAGCAGGGGUUUUGUAAACCUCAGGUCACCCGUUCAAAUCGGGUCGCCAGCUCCA